GACGAACGCUGGCGGCGUGCUUAACACAUGCAAGUCGAACGGAGCACCUUUGAAAGAGACUUCGGUCAAUGGAUGAGACUGCUUAGUGGCGGACGGGUGAGUAACGCGUGAGGAACCUGCCUUUCAGAGGGGGACAACAGUUGGAAACGACUGCUAAUACCGCAUGAUGCAUGAUCAGGGCAUCCUGGACAUGCCAAAGAUUUAUCGCUGAAAGAUGGCUUCGCGUCUGAUUAGCUAGUUGGCGGGGUAACGGCCCACCAAGGCGACGAUCAGUAGCCGACCUGAGAGGGUGACCGGCCACAUUGGGACUGAGACACGGCCCAA
rnacentral:rRNA from 1 species